ensembl:lncRNA
GGCAGGGGAAACAAUGUUGCAGGAGUCUAUUGUGAGGGAUUAUGGCAGGGGAAACGGUGUUGCAGUGGUCUAGUGUGAGGGGUUAUGGCAGGGGAAACGGUGUUGCAGUAGUCUAGUAUGAGGGGUUAUGGCAAAAGAAACGGUGUUGCAGUAGUCUAGUGUGAGGUGUUAUGGCAGGGGAAACGGUGUUGCAGUAGUCUAUUGUGAGGGAAUAUGGCAGGGGAAACGGUGUUGCAGUAGUCUAGUGUGAGGGGUUAUGGCAGGGGAAACAGUGUUGCAGUGGUCUAGUGAGAGGAGUUAUGGCAGGGGAAACGGUGUUGCAGUGGUCUGGUGUGAGGGGUUAUGGCAGGGGAAACAGUGUUGCAGUGGUCUAGUAUGAGGGGUUACGGCAGGGGAAACGGUGUUGCAGUGGUCUAGUGUGAGGGAUUAUGGCAGGGGGAAAGGUUUUGCAGUAGUCUUGUAUGAGGGGUUAUGGCAGGGGAAACAGUGUUGCAGUAGUCUAGUGUGAGGGGUUAUGGCAGGGGAAACGGUGUUGCAGUGGUCUAGUGUGAGGGGUUAUGGCAGGGGAAACAGUGUUGCAGUGGUCUAGUAUGAGGG